rnacentral:rRNA from 1 species
AGAGUUUGAUCCUGGUUCAGGAUGAACGCUAGCGAUAGGCCUAACACAUGCAAGUCGAGGGGCAACACAUGAAGUAGCAAUACGGAUGGUGGCGACCGGCGCACGGGUGAGUAACGCGUAUGCAAUCUACCUACAACAAGGGGAUAACCCGUUGAAAGACGGACUAAUACCCUAUAAUACAGGGGUCCCGCAUGGGGAUAUUUGUUAAAGAUUCAUCGGUUGUAGAUGAGCAUGCGUUCCAUUAGCUAGUUGGUGGGGUAACGGCCCACCAAGGCAACGAUGGGUAGGGGAACUGAGAGGUUUAUCCCCCACACUGGUACUGAGACACGGACCAGACUCCUACGGGAGGCAGCAGUGAGGAAUAUUGGUCAAUGGACGCAAGUCUGAACCAGCCACGUCGCGUGAAGGAAGACGGCCCUACGGGUUGUAAACUUCUUUUGUAAGGGAAUAAAGUGAGUCACGCGUGACUUUUUGCAUGUACCUUACGAAUAAGGAUCGGCUAACUCCGUGCCAGCAGCCGCGGUAAUACGGAGGAUC